UCAACUUUUGACUAAAACUCCAACAUUAUCACUCCCUAAAAAUACAUCAUCACUUCUCUCUCAAAUUCUUAUAAUCAUUACCGUCAUAAAAAAUUAAGAAAGAAGGAAAGAGAAAGAGAGAAACCACCAUGUUCAUCAAACUUCAAACUCACUCCGUGAAAGGUUUAAGGCUCAAAUCAAAAUUCUAUUAUGAUUAAUCUCUUUGUCUUAUCCUCUUCUUUAUCUUCAUAUAAAUUUCUUUAAGGAAAUCAUAUUUAGGAACAUCAAGGAGUAAAGAAACACCACCUUCAAACUCAAAAGGAAGGAAUUAGUGUUAGAAAUCUUCCAAGAGAUGUUUAACAAGCUUGGAUUUGUGGAGAAUAGGUUGGACAAGUUAUUGACAAGCUUAUCGCUGCCGCUGCUAGCUACCUCUUAUUCUGCUUUGUUGCUGCUGUGGUUCAGGCUGGGGCCAGGGGUAUUGAGAGCAUGGAUUGGGCUACAAUAGUUAUGCAGAUGUAUAAAUCAUGGGCCCAACAACGUGGAUAUAAUAUAACUGCAACAGAUGAAAUGCUUGGUGACAUUGUAGGAAUCAAGAAGGAGAAUUAAGAGAAGUGGCAGCAGAAAGCAGCAGAGGUUGUGUCUUUUGAGCAUUUUCCUGCAGAGAGUUCUCUUGAAGCAAAUAUUGAGGGUAGCACCACAUCAACUCCAGUGGUUAAGGAUAGAAAUCAUGCCACUGCGACUGCCGCAGCUGCUGAUUCAAUCCUACUAUAGAAGAUACCUUGCUCAACGUGCACUGCGUGCUUUGAAGGGAUUGGUGAGGCUACAAGCACUUGUAAGGGGACAUAAUGUGAGCAAGCAAGCGCAGAUGACAAUGCAGUGCAUGCAAGCAUUGCUUCGAGUUCAGGCAAGAGUAAGGGCUCAGAAUCCAGUUAAAUAAUGAGAAGAAGCAACAUCAAGCAACAAUGAAGAGGGAGAGAGCUCUUGCUUAUGCCUUCAACUAUCAAAUUGAGAGUCCUCAAUUGGAUUAGAACUGGUUGGAGCGUUGGCUAUGCUUAAGUCGAGAUUACACUAACUGGAGAUGGCACGCCAGGCUCAGUUGAAUGAAAUGGGAUAAUGCUGACUGAUAUGGGAUAUGAAAUUAGACCUCAAUUGAUUGUAUUUAUCCGGAUGCAUUUUAUAACUAUAUUGGAUAUAAGUGAAUGAUAUGGCUAAUUUAGUUUAAA